CUGUGACUCCUACGGGGAGGCAGCAGUGGGGAAUAUUGCACAAUGGGGGAAACCCUGAUGCAGCCAUGCCGCGUGUGUGAAGAAGGACCUUCGGGUUGUAAAGCACUUUCAGUAGGGAGGAAGGUAGUGUAGUUAACACCUGCACUAUUUGACGUUACCUACAGAAGAAGCACCGGCUAACUCCGUGCCAGCAGCCGCGGUAAUACGGAGGGUGCGAGCGUUAAUCGGAAUUACUGGGCGUAAAGCGCAUGCAGGCGGCCUCGUUAAGUCAGAUGUGAAAGCCCGGGGCGUUAAACCUCGGAAUUGCAUUUGAAACUGGCAGGCUAGAGUCUUGUAGAGGGGGGUAGGAAUUUCAGGUGUAGCGGUGAAAUGCGUAGAGAUCUGAAGGAAUACCAGUGGCGAAGGCGGCCCCCUCGGACAAAGACUGACGCUCAGAUGCGAAAGCGUGGGGAGCAAACAGGAUUAGAUACCUGGUAG
rnacentral:rRNA from 1 species